CGCACUUCGAAUGCGAGAUGGAGGGCCAUUUGUCUUUGCUCAGGUCUUAUUUGAUGUCUAUGGCUUUCGGAAUUGCUUCAAAUGUUAAAUUUCAGUUUCCAUGAUUCAUAUCCUUGUGAACCUAUAUGUCUUUGCUCAGGUGAAGCACGGGCAAGGAGUUGAGGAAAUCGUGAACCACAUAAUACAGGCUUGGGAACUAGCAACAGGAAAUAAGCGCCAAUGAGCCACCGACGCUUUUUCACUGAAUUUGGUUUCUGCAUCUUUUUUCCAAAUCUCUGUCUACCUCUUAGAAUAAAUGUGUAAAUGUUUAACACUACUCCGCCCCUGCGGGAGUGGAGCGGUGAAUGAUGAGGAACGCAUUGUUGCUAUGCUAUUACUGUUUAGUGUCACAAUUUUUAUAUCUAAUUGAGUUGUCAUUCUUUUUUU